rnacentral:rRNA from 1 species
UACAGAGGUCCCAAGCGUUGUUCGGAUUCACUGGGCGUAAAGGGUGCGUAGGUGGUGGGGUAAGUCGGAUGUGAAAGCUCGGAGCUCAACUCCGAAAUGGCAUUGGAAACUACCCUGCUAGAGGAUUGGAGGGGGGACUGGAAUACUUGGUGUAGCAGUGAAAUGCGUAGAUAUCAAGUGGAACACCAGUGGCGAAGGCGAGUCCCUGGACAAUACCUGACCACUGAGGCACGAAAGCUAGGGGAGCAAACAGG